GCAACGUGUAUAAUGGCACAUUUCUGUAAUGAGUACAUGCCACAACUAAUCCACAAAAAAGUCAAUCCAAGAAAAAUGUUACAAAUUAGUCUUUCUUCUGUACUGGUGGAAUAUAGCCAGUAUGUGAGCAUGGAAGAUAAAGACUUCAAGAAAUCUUGAAGAGAUUUGUGUUAAGGUGAAAAAAACAAAACAACCUAGAAUAGAUGCUUGUGUGGACCUGUCAGAGUGUGUAAUAUUUAAUUCUUCAGUUAGAGAUGGGGGCACAGGUUAGACAAGUCUGGAACUGUCUUCCUCGCAGCUUGGAUGUAUAAAUGUCCUUGAAUAACAUGUUUCUACAGGAGUAGAAGCAAGCUUAGAAGUGCUGGAUUUUUAUUAUUUUAAUAAUUAUUUUGCGUGUGUCCUCUAAAACAAAUACGUCUCAACAAAUACGUAAAUAAUUUUAUUAUAGUUAUCUUACCUGUAGAUGCUUUCAGACAUGCUUCACAAAUGAUGGAAUAGUUCUGGAAGUGGCUUGCUGUUUUGAAGCCUGAGUACUCAAAGCUAAAUCUGGCACUUAGUUGCUGAAAAUAACAUUUUUCCUAAGUGUGGUUUGCCCUCUGAUGAAGACAUAAGUGAUGCUGUAGGUUUUUUUUUUUUAAGGUAGCUGUUGUUGUUUUUUGUUUUCUUUUUUUUGUUUACCCACAAUAUCUGUAUCUAAAUGCUUCCAAAAUACCAAACAACACAGUUUUCCCUUGAUAACUGAACUGUGGUAUUAAGUAUAUAUGGGUACAUUCAGUGAUAUCCAAAUAUUUCCUUAUAUUCUGCAUGCCUAAUACAUAAAAUUAGUACAGACUUCUGCCACAGAGAUCCUAAGAGAUGAUAACAGCUGUUUUCAUUUUAAAAUAUAUUGUUGCACACUGAUAGUAUUAAUAAAAGGAAAAAAAAACAAAAAACUACUUCACAACAAUGACAACAGCAGCAUAAAAAAAAAAGAGAAUCUUUUAUGUAAGUGUUUGUGCAUAUAAAUAUACAUAGAAAACAAAGCAAAUUCCUUUUUUGUCCUCCUCAAAUCUAUUCCAUAUCUGGAGAAAGCUUGCUAAGAUGACAGUGAGACACUGCACUGAAAUGAAACACACAAUCAAAUACCACCCAGUGCACAGAAAGAGACAUAUCGUUCAUCCAAACGAGUAUGCCUAUAAUAGUACAGAUGCACUUUGCUGGCCCAGAGACAGCUCUUUCUAC
ensembl:lncRNA